CCCGGCAGAAGCGACAGGAGCAGCAAACCCUCCCGCCUCACAGCCGCAUCGCUGAGCAGAUAAGAGGAUGAGGAUCUACUGACAAAUUAAGGAACCAAUGAUGUCCAGGUGUCAGACUCUGCAGAGAAGAUGGAAGAAGUCCUGGUGUCUGGACCAGAUGAAGAAGAAAAGUAAAGACAACAGAGAAGACGUCACUCAGAACAAACAAAAAUAAAGCCUGAAGCAAGUUAAGAGGCUGCAUUCCUUCCAAAUUCCAGAUACUGACUCAUCAUCACUGAGGUGGUGCUCCACCCCAAGUCCCCAGUCACAGGGGUACCCAGGUUGCAGUGCGGCCUGAGACAUUACAUCACUAGUCAGGUGAUCAGAGGUAGCCUGUCUUUGCUUUAAUGGUUGGAGCGACUACUAGUGGGAGGAAGAUCAUUCUGUUUUUGGAACAGCUGGAAGCAUCCUGGUCAGAAAACACUGGUCUAUUGCAUUGAAGUGAUCACAGUGGCCACCCUAUUAUCGCAAACACCCCAAUACAAGCAAGCUUGAAUUACUAUUCACCUUUACUGCAACACUGUAAACUCUGGACAACAUCAUCCCACCAGCGGAGCGCGCUGUCCCCGGAACCCCCAUUACUUUGCAGAGUAACAACGUGAGACUCAUCCGGGACAUCGAUCCUCCAGAUUGAAAGAAGGAGCACCUUUCACUGGCACCACGGAGAUUCAUCAGCCUUUGGCUUUACAGGCUUUCAUGGAUCCAGAAGCAUUCACUGGUCAAUGACUGCAACUCUAGUGGCCUAAAAAUGGCCUACAAGAGAAUGGGACUGCUGGAAACCUCAGCAUCCUGGAGCACAUACACUUUAAAUAGGAUCAGGAAAAGGACAGCAUCACAGCAAAUGGGAACAAUUACAUCACUGCAUUGCGCCAGUUUACAUUGAGUCUCAUAGGCUGCAGGCUGAAAGUGCCUCAGCCUAGGAAAGUGGUGUAGCAGAGUGCCAGAAACUUCUGUAUGGGCAUCUUUAGAACAUCUAUACAGUUGAAAGGGCACAAGAAAGUGGUUAAAGGGGUUAUCCACCAUAAGGUGAUUUAAGUACGUACAUGUCAGACAGUAAUGGACAUGCUUAGGAAGGAUCUGCGCUUGUCUUGGGGCUAAAUGGCUAUGUCAUGAGAUUACCAUAAUACUGUGGCUAGCUUUUUGUGAACUGGUAUUUCCUGUUUCAGUUUUCUUUUUUUGAUUACAAAUUCCAUAAUUCCAUUUUCCUCCCUCCCACACAUCAGCCACUCCACCCAUUGAAACAUAAAUGAGCUGCAUCCAUUCAAAUCAGUGUGGUUUUCAAUCAGGGUGCCUACAGCUGUUGCACAUUGAUCUCUCUCCCACCAAGCGAUCCCUCCACCCAUUGAAGUAGACAGGCUCCCUGUCAUCAGCUGACUAGUGAGUCAGGUCUCGGCCGCAUUGCAGCCUGGGAAUAAUCUGAGACAACAGUAAUUUUGUAUGCUGUUAAAAAUAUUGGGGUGAAAAUCCCAGAAGAAUUGUGAGAAAGCCGUCACACAC